UACGUAGGGUGCAAGCGUUGUCCGGAAUUAUUGGGCGUAAAGAGCGUGUAGGCGGCCCGAUUAGUCCGCUGUGAAAGUCCAGGGCUCAACCCUGGAAUGCCGGUGGAUACUGUCGGGCUAGAGUCCGGAAGGGGCGAGUGGAAUUCCUGGUGUAGCGGUGAAAUGCGCAGAUAUCAGGAGGAACACCAAUGGCGAAGGCAGCUCGCUGGGACGUGACUGACGCUGAGAACGCGAAAGCGUGGGAGCAAACAGG
rnacentral:rRNA from 1 species